GUCCCCUAGCCAGGGGGCAGAAAGAUCCCCUUGGGGCACUGAGAGGCAAACCAACCGGCUCAGAGGAAGUGACUGGCAUUCUACUGGAUGAAGGCAAGGAGAGGAAGGAAGAGCUCCUAUUACAGGCCAUGAAAAUACUCAGGCAGGUGCACUGGUCCUUGUGUUACAGGGUGAUGGAAAUGAACUGGGAAGCAGGAUGCUUUAAAAAGCAACAGAUGCCUUCGUCAACCAAAUUCAAAGGGAGAACUAUAAGGGCCCUCUAUAAAUACACCCAGAGUGUGUGGGUCUGAAUUGAACACUCUGGCGAGACACCAACUUUCUCAGGAAGAAAGAGAUCAGUUGCAAUAUAACACAACUUGCAAUUCCUUUCCAAACUUCUGGUGCUUUUGCUUUGGGAAAAAAAAUUAAAAGUGCUGCUGUUCAUCAUUGCUAGCCAAAAGCAUUUAUAGAUUAUGGAUUCUUUUAUUGAAAAUGAAGCAUUCAACAAGCAAGGUAUGCGUUCUUAAAGGUUAUAAAGCAUAAACCAACUUACAGCAGGAACAUAAUACAUAUUAUUUGAUUUUGACAGCUGCUUUUUUCUAGGUAAUUUGUGUUAUUUCAUAUAUUAUUUUCUAUUAAACAUAGAGUCAUUAAACACACCCACACAAAAACUUUAACUUAGCCUAGGCAUGCUGAUGCAUGUCUCUAAUUCCAGCAUUCAGGAAGCCGAGGCAGGUGGAUCUCUGAGUCUGAGGCUAGCCAGGUCUAUAAAAAGAGUUUCAGGCUAGCCAGAAUACCCUGUCUCAA